CAAAGAAGUACCACGCAGGUCGAGCUCCUGGAUCACCACGCCCCUCGUGCCCACCCGCCGCCCCGACCAACGACAUGCUAGCCAUCAAUACCGGACAGAUGGAUGAUGGAUCAGCACAGAAGUCACCUGAUUCCCUUUGAGAUGAACCCCAUCGAGCCUCAUCAUCCUACAGUUCCCGGCCGGUUGUUCCUCCUGCUGCCUGUCGACGGCAUGCAUCACCUCCAGCAUAUCGAACCAUAGUGUAAAGGGGAGGAGUAAGAGGGUGGUGGCACCUACCACGAAGUGGGACUGUUGUGGUUCAAGUGGUAUUAAUUUAUUUUGUUCCGUCAAUUUUGGCCCACAUAUUACUACUUCCUUGCAUUUUGUGGGUACCUUAGAGAUCGUUCCUUGUUAUGUUGAGGUUGUGUGUAGAGAUGAUCAGACAAGUUACUUCAUCGGACAUUUAUAUUUUUUAUUUGAGAAUUGAAUAGCAUCCGUGGUUCAGGGCAUGGGUUCGUUGCAUACUUUCUAAUUCAAAUGGUUUCUAAUGAUUCAUAGUCACAGAAACAAGAAUAAGAGGAGGCAUUCUUUGAAUAAGGUAGAAAGUGUAAAAGAACAAGGUGGCAAACAUUGUAAAGAGGAUCCAUAGUUAAUCACUGGUGGCAAAAUUUUAUUUAGUCUGAUUCUACUAAUAAUGUCAUCAGUGCUUUCAGAAGAGGAGAUUUCUUGUCCUCAUUGCAACAACUACCACCAAGAUAGUGGAUCCGCCUGACAUUGUCGUUGCUGCAGCAUGCCGGUCGGUGAGUCUUGCGAGCAUAGGUUUUGUGGUGGUCACCGACAGCAUGAACCAAUGUCGAUGUCACUGUCCUCACAAUCCCAGGCUCAUUGUCGAACGCAUCGCUCUCAUAUCAACAAUGUUCUGCUUUGGAUGAUCUCAUUUCCUGUCUUUAUUGUCUUCUAUACUUAGGUGUGUGUAUGAAAGAAUGCCUUCUGAUGUGCCCUGGGUUAAAAGAAGGAUCAGUGCAUGCUUAAAUGUAAUACUUCAGUAAUGGGGUAGUGUAGCUGCCUUGAAGUGAUUUAGGUUGGUAGCAUUGCUUGGUGUACAAAAGGUUUGCAAUGCUUGUAUCCAUGUGCUUUUGGUUAGCUUAAUCCAAUUGUCUUGGUUCCUCUUAGUAUGCAGGUGUAUCCUCUAAUGAUAUGGUGCUUCUAUGAUGUAAAGGUUCCUAUUAUGAAACUACUUUUUUAUGCAUUCCAUUAACUGCAUGAUCCUAUGCACGUAGAUGUAAUUUUAGCAUACCUAACAUUUGAUAGUAUACAACUAUACAUAAUUCAUGUGACAUGUACGUCUUUUUUGUUCUAAAGAGAAAUUCCACUAGGGGGAAAAAUGAGCAUUCUCUUGAUAUAGCUGGUAUGAACUGAAUAGCAAAGCAAUUGAGUUAUGGUCUCUUGUUAAUUGUCUCAUUUCUUAUUUUCUUGGCCUUGUGGUUUGGAUUAGAAAGCCAAUGAAAUCAAUGCAUCAGAAUUUGAUUUUGGAUGACUACAUAUGCUUAAUAAUUGUGUUUUUUUGUGGGGUUUAGGAAUUAUGGCUACAACUAGCGCCUCGGUAUUUGCAUAUAAAAAGGUGAUUUUGUUUGGCAAUUGCAUAUGUUUGCGAACAAGAGGGUUUCUCAUCAUGCACAGAGAAAUAAUUUAUUGUAUCUGUAUAUUUUACUAGACCAUUGGCGCCCUUUUGAGCCAGGAUAUAACAUGAUAUGUGUUCCCUGACAUGGUAAUCUAAGAAUUUUUUGUUAGUUUAUAUCAUGCAGUGUGUCCCCUGGUAGCUCAGCUUUCAGAUAAUUACAGAACUAUAGCAAUAAAAUCCCAUUGGUGCUUUAUGCAGGAUUGGAGCUUUGACACAAUAGGAAAUUAUAGCAAGGUCUUAGUGAAUGCAUAUCUUGGUCCUGGAAAUUGAUCUUACAUCUCUACCUCUUUGCAUUAUGUGCUUGUUUUUUCUACCUUGGAUUUUUAGAUCAUUAAUGGAUAUAUUAUUACCGAGAAAGGGUGAUAGUCUGGCUAGACUGAGAUUGAAGUUGUGGACUUGUCGUUGUAUCCAUAUGUAGUCAUGUUUUUUUCAGUUCCUUAUGACGCUGAUUGUAACUUUUGCCUGCUAUUGAAAAUGGCAUGCACUCAAUAAAGUGUUUAGGUUGAAGACAAAUGUUUAGAGCACAUCACAUAAUUGUCAUUUGUCUUACUCUGGCAUUCUUCUCAAAUUUAGAAGAAUCAGGUUCCACUGUCAAGGUGAUCUCAUAAAGCACCAUUAGUUGAUUUGUUAUUACUAAUAAAUACAUUCGUUGGAUGGAUAAGUAUUCUCUACCUGCACAAGGGAGUUGUAUAUGCAUGGCCCUGUGUAUUACUCAGUCAGUUUUACUUAUCAAUGCAUACAAUUAUUUUUCUUAAGCAGUCAAAGUCAAGUUGGAUUCCAAGGGAAUGGAUUGGCAUUAUUUGCUAUAAGCAUAUAUAUUAGAUGAUGGCAAUAUCAGCUCCGUUAUGCAGAUAUACCAGAGUAGCUGAGUGCCAUAUGCCUACGACUAACAUACUGCUGUAUAUUAUUGCCAUAUGCUUUUGUUUGGGUGAAAUAAACUUGUAAUUAUUGCCUUCUUUGGAACUCCCUAAACAGUGAAAAGGAGUUUCAUCAGAAAAGAAGACAUGUGAAGGAAAUUAAGCAGGAACGGGAGUGAGGGAGGCAAGUCAGAAGGUGGUCAUAGCUUAGGAAUUCCACUGAAAAUUUCUCUUAGUUUAUGGUGUUAUUUAAAAUAUUGACUUUUGCUAAUAUUACAUCGUUGCAGAUUACAGAACCAAAUUCUACAUGAUCUCGGUAGACUUGUAUUCAUGAUUUGCACUUUAUGAUGUCUUGAUUCCUCCAUUUUCAGGUGAUGCUUCACGCGGGAUUGGAUACUUUCCUAGGAUUUCAUAAUGUUAGAACCUUGUUCGAUGAUUGUUGUGUGACAAUUUUGAGAUACGGUUUAGGCAACCUUGCUCUUCACCAUUCAAGGUUAUUUUCCUUUUCUUUACUGCCUAACACUUCCAGAGGGGUGUAAGGAAAGCAAAGAAGGAGAAAAAAUUCGAAGAGAGUACCUCUAUCUGGAAAUGCCAAUUUUCCACUGCUCAAGCCUGAAGUGGAUGAACCCAUAUACAAUUGAACGAUGAUGUUAUUCAUAUUGUUUGACCUUGUACUUGCUGUUUGGAAGAACCUACGGAGGACUUUCAUUGUCAUUAAGAAGUCUUCCAUAUA